rnacentral:rRNA from 1 species
UGUGUCAGCCGCCGCGGUAAUACGUAGGGGGCGAGCGUUGUCCGGAAUUACUGGGCGUAAAGGGUGCGUAGGCGGCCCUUUAAGUCAGAUGUGAAAGCCCGCAGCUUAACUGCGGAAUUGCAUUUGAAACUGGAGGGCUUGAGUGUCGGAGAGGGUAGUGGAAUUCCCAGUGUAGCGGUGAAAUGCGUAGAUAUUGGGAGGAACACCAGUGGCGAAGGCGACUGCCUGGACGAUAACUGACGCUGAGGCACGAAAGCUAGGGGAGCAAACAGGAUUAGAUACCCUGGUAGUCCUAGCCGUAAACGAUGGGUACUAGGUGUAGGUGGUUUCGAUACCAUCUGUGCCGUAGUUAACGCAUUAAGUACCCCGCCUGGGGAGUACGUGCGCAAGCAUGAAACUCAAAGGAAUUGACGGGGGCCCGCACAAGCGGUGGAGCAUGUGGUUUAAUUCGAAGCAACGCGAAGAACCUUACCAGGUCUUGACAUCCCUGGACAGCUGUGGAAACACAGUUUCCCUUCGGGGCCAGGAGACAGGUGGUGCAUGGUUGUCGUCAGCUCGUGUCGUGAGAUGUUGGGUUAAGUCCCGCAACGAGCGCAACCCUUGCCUUUAGUUGCCAUCAUUAAGUUGGGGACUCUAAAGGGACUGCCGGUGACAAAUCGGAGGAAGGUGGGGAUGACGUCAAAUCAUCAUGCCCCUUAUGAUCUGGGCUACACACGUGCUACAAUGGGUGGUACAGAGGGAAGCGAAGCCGUGAGGCGGAGCGAAUCCCAGAAAGCCACUCUCAGUUCGGAUUGCAGGCUGCAACUCGCCUGCAUGAAGUCGGAAUCGCUAGUAAUCGCAGGUCAGCAUACUGCGGUGAAUACGUUCCCGGGCCUUGUACACACCGCCCGUCACACCACGAAAGUUCGCAACACCCGAAGCCGGUGGCCUAACCGCAAGGAGGGAGCCGUCGAAGGUGGGGCGGAUGAUUGGGGUGAAGUCGUAACAAGGUAACCA